rnacentral:rRNA from 1 species
AUUGAACGCUGGCGGCAUGCCUUACACAUGCCAGUCGAACGGUAACAGGUCUUCGGAUGCUGACGAGUGGCGAACGGGUGAGUAAUACAUCGGAACGUGCCCGAUCGUGGGGGAUAACGAGGCGAAAGCUUUGCUAAUACCGCAUACGAUCUACGGAUGAAAGCGGGGGAGCUUCGGACCUCGCGCGGACGGAGCGGCCGAUGGCAGAUUAGGUAGUUGGUGGGAUAAAAGCUUACCAAGCCGACGAUCUGUAGCUGGUCUGAGAGGAUGAUCAGCCACACUGGGACUGAGACACGGCCCAGACUCCUACGGGAGGCAGCAGUGGGGAAUUUUGGACAAUGGGCGAAAGCCUGAUCCAGCCAUGCCGCGUGCAGGAUGAAGGCCUUGGGGUUGUAAACUGCUUUUGUACGGAACGAAAAGCCUCUUUCUAAUAAAGAGGGGUCAUGACGGUACCGGAAGAAUAAGCACCGGCUAACUACGUG